UACACACGUGCUACAAUGGACAGAACAAAGGGCAGCGAAACCGCGAGUUAACCCAAUCCCACAAAUCUGUUCUCAGUUCGGAUCGCAGUCUGCAACUCGACUGCGUGAAGUGGAAUCGCUAGUAAUCGCGGAUCAGCAUGCCGCGUGAAUACGUUCCCGGGCCUUGUACACACCGCCCGUCACACCACGAGAGUUUGUAACACCCGAAGUCGGUGAGGUAACCUUUUUAGGAGCCAGCCGCCGAAGUGGGAACAGAUGAUUGGGGUGAAGUCGUAACAAGGUAGCCGUAUCGAAAGGUGC
rnacentral:rRNA from 1 species